GUGACUGAAGAAAAGAAACCUUGCUCUGGGCAGUCAGAUCCUGGUUUAAGCUGGAAGCUCACAUCUUUUUUAAGUGCCUGAAGCUCGGCUUGCGGUUAAGAGCUCGUGGAAGAUUAGGACUGGCAUGCACUUGUUGACUUGAAAAUGAAAGACACGAUGUCUGUGGACUGAAGAGCUAGCCACAUGCAGCUGACACUGGUGUGGAAGAGCAAUGAAAUGCUGAUGAGCAGAGGUGAUCAGAGUGAAGUUGGGAGAACCCUUGAAGCGUCCACACGAUUGGGCUGAGGAAUGUGCCUUCUCCAAGAGCAAGGGCCUCUGAUGAGAUAGGUCGGCUUUGUGAAAACAUUGCCUUCCCCAAAGCAAGCAAGGGGUGACUGUCCCAUCUGAAGCUAGGAAACAGACACUGAAAGAACAUCCUCGAGCAGCAAGACACUAUUUCAUCUGCCAGGGCAGGAAACAUUUCCUUGGCAUCCAGCAGGGGCCUGCUGACACUUGUGAAACUUUGACCAAGCUUGCCCAGCAGAAGUGCUGCUGCAACUGUGCCUGGUGUUUUCCUUCCAAAACAAAGCACUUCUUGGACCAAAGAGUAAGGAUGCAGUAUAAGAUGGCAAAAGAACCUAUUUGUUACCACUGCCUGUACUGGUGUGCCAUGGAACUGGGGAAGUAUUGGUGGCUGGGUUUCACUUUUAUGGAAUUUCCAUGCUUCCAACUUGGAAAAAAAAAAUUCUAGCAACUUUACCAGUAAAAUAAGCUCAAAUGCAGUAAAGAGAAUUUAAUAUUAGAUAGGUGAGGGAAAACUUCUCCAUCAAAACUGGGGAGAGAUUUGCUCAUUCUUCAAUUUGGCAAAGGCUCUGCCUGUUUUCCUCAAGUUCUUCAAUGAAAUCCAUUCUGAUUGGGUGGGGGGAAUGCAGGUUCCCUCACUAUUACCUGUUUGGAGUAUUAAAUAAAUGAUAGGGCUGUUUUUUCCUUGUAGUGGAGAAAUCAGAUCAGUGAAUUUCCCUGCAAUUUUGGCUGUUGGACUUCAUAAUUUAUGCCACCAUAGGGUUGGCUGCCAGUUCUUAGCUUGGUAGUUGUUCCUAUCCCACCUUCCCAAGAGGACAUCAGCCUUUAGGAAACUACACUUCAGCUUGUAACAAGAGGAUUCUGAGGGUCUGACUCCUGCUGUUCUAAACCAUUUGAGGAAGUAGAUUCAUCUUGCUGCAUUAGUCUGGUA